rnacentral:rRNA from 1 species
AUCCGUGUCAUUGUCUUGUAUUGGAUGAUGGUGACGUAAAAUCUCACCAGAGUAACAAUUGGAGGGCAAGUCUGGUGCCAGCAGCCGCGGUAAUUCCAGCUCCAAUAGCGUAUAUUAAACUUGUUGCAGUUAAAAAGCUCGUAGUUGAAUUUCUGCGUUGCCCGACUCGGCUACUUGCCUUGUCUGGUUUCGCUUUUGGGGUUUUCCCCUUUUUACUUUGAGAAAAUUAGAGUGUUUCAAGCAGACUUGUGUCUUGAAUACUUCAGCAUGGAAUAAUAAAGUAGGACUUUGGUUCUAUUUUGUUGGUUUGUGAACCUUAGUAAUGGUUAAUAGGGGCAGUUGGG